rnacentral:rRNA from 1 species
UGAGGAAUUUUGCGCAAUGGGAGCAAUCCUGACGCAGCAACGCCGCGUGGGUGAUGAAGGCCUUCGGGUCGUAAAGCCCUGUCAGGUGGGAAGAAUGUCCCGGGACUGAACAGGUUCCGGGAGUGACGGUACCACCAGAGGAAGCACCGGCUAACUCCGGGCCAGCAGCCGCGGUAAUACGGAGGGUGCACGCGUUAUUCGGAAUUACUGGGCGUAAAGCGCGUGUAGGCGGUCCUGCAAGUCGGAUGUGAAAGCCCCGGGCUUAACCCGGGAAGUGCAUUGGAAACUGUGGGGCUUGAGUACUGGAGAGGAUGGGGGAAUUCCCGGUGUAGAGGUGAAAUUCGUAGAGAUCGGGAGGAAUAUCAGUGGCGAAGGCGCCCAUCUGGACGGUAACUGACGCUGAGACGCGAAAGCGUGGGGAGCAAACA